rnacentral:rRNA from 1 species
GACGAACGCUGGCGGCGUGCUUAACACAUGCAAGUCGAACGGAAAGGCCCUGCUUUUGUGGGGUGCUCGAGUGGCGAACGGGUGAGUAACACGUGAGUAACCUGCCCUUGACUUUGGGAUAACUUCAGGAAACUGGGGCUAAUACCGGAUAGGAGCUCCUGCUGCAUGGUGGGGGUUGGAAAGUUUCGGCGGUUGGGGAUGGACUCGCGGCUUAUCAGCUUGUUGGUGGGGUAGUGGCUUACCAAGGCUUUGACGGGUAGCCGGCCUGAGAGGGUGACCGGCCACAUUGGGACUGAGAUACGGCCCAGACUCCUACGGGAGGCAGCAGUGGGGAAUAUUGCACAAUGGGCGGAAGCCUGAUGCAGCAACGCCGCGUGCGGGAUGACGGCCUUCGGGUUGUAAACCGCUUUCGCCUGUGACGAAGCGUGAGUGACGGUAAUGAGUAAAGAAGCACCGGCUAACUACGUGCCAGCAGCCGCGGUGAUACGUAGGGUGCGAGCGUUGUCCGGAUUUAUUGGGCGUAAAGGGCUCGUAGGUGGUUGAUCGCGUCGGAAGUGUAAUCUUGGGGCUUAACCCUGAGCGUGCUUUCGAUACGGGUUGACUUGAGGAAGGUAGGGGAGAAUGGAAUUCCUGGUGGAGCGGUGGAAUGCGCAGAUAUCAGGAGGAACACCAGUGGCGAAGGCGGUUCUCUGGGCCUUUCCUGACGCUGAGGAGCGAAAGCGUGGGGAGCGAACAGGCUUAGAUACCCUGGUAGUCCACGCUGUAAACGGUGGGUACUAGGUGUGGGGUCCAUUCCACGGGUUCCGUGCCGUAGCUAACGCUUUAAGUACCCCGCCUGGGGAGUACGGCCGCAAGGCUAAAACUCAAAGGAAUUGACGGGGCCCCGCACAAGCGGCGGAGCAUGCGGAUUAAUUCGAUGCAACGCGUAGAACCUUACCUGGGUUUGACAUGGAUCGGGAGCGCUCAGAGAUGGGUGUGCCUCUUUUGGGGUCGGUUCACAGGUGGUGCAUGGCUGUCGUCAGCUCGUGUCGUGAGAUGUUGGGUUAAGUCCCGCAACGAGCGCAACCCUUGUUCACUGUUGCCAGCACGUUAUGGUGGGGACUCAGUGGAGACCGCCGGGGUCAACUCGGAGGAAGGUGGGGAUGACGUCAAGUCAUCAUGCCCCUUAUGUCCAGGGCUUCACGCAUGCUACAAUGGCUGGUACAGAGAGUGGCGAGCCUGUGAGGGUGAGCGAAUCUCGGAAAACCGGUCUCAGUUCGGAUUGGGGUCUGCAACUCGACCUCAUGAAGUCGGAGUCGCUAGUAAUCGCAGAUCAGCAACGCUGCGGUGAAUACGUUCCCGGGGCU